GACGAACGCUGGCGGCGUGCUUAACACAUGCAAGUCGAGCGGAGCGGCGAACGGGUGAGUAACGCGUGAGUAACUGACCCCCUCUCUGGGAUAACAGUUGGAAACGGCUGCUAAUACCGGAUAGUGGGGGUUGACUCGCGUCUUAUCAGAUUGUUGGUGGGGUAGUGGCCUACCAAGGAGACGAAGGGUAGCCGGCCUGGGAGGGCGACCGGCCACCAGGGGCUGGGAUACGGCCCACACGCCAACGGGAGGCAGCAGUGGGGAAUAUGGCACAGUGGGGGAAACCCAGAUGCAGCAGCGCCGCGUGCGGGAUGACGGCCUUCGGGUUGUAAACCGCUUUCAGCCAUGACGCGGUAGUGGCAGAAGAAGCACCGGCUAACUACGUGCCAGCAGCCGCGGUAAUUC
rnacentral:rRNA from 1 species